rnacentral:tRNA from 1 species
AAGAGUUUAGUUUAAAAAAAACAUUUAAUUGUCUAUUAAAAAAAGCUCCUUUUGCAACUCUUA